AAUAGAUACCCAGGUAGUCCACGCUGUAAACGAUGAUCACUAGAUGUUGGUCCGAUUUUUUGGAUCAGUGUCGUAGCUAACGCGUUAAGUGAUUCGCCUGGGGAUUACGGCCGCAAGGCUAAAACUCAAAGGAAUUGACGGGGGUCCGCGCAAGCGGUGGAACAUGUGGUUUAAUUCGACACUACGCGAGGAACCUUACCUGGGCUUGACAUGCAUUCGACAGUCUCAGAGAUGAGAUCUUCUAGGCUUCGGUCUAGACGUUUGCACAGGUGCUGCAUGGCUGUCGUCAGCUCGUGUCGUGAGAUGUUGGGUUAAGUCCUUUAACGAGCGCAACCCUUGCUAUCAGUUGCAACUGCCUUUUUAGGUAAAGCACUCUGAUGGGACUGCCUGGGAAACCAGGAGGAAGGUGGGGACGACGUCAAGUCAUCAUGGUCCUUAUGUCCAGGGCUACACACGUGUUACAAUGGCUAAGUACAAAGGGAAGCUACAUCGCAAGAUGAUGCUAAUCUCCU
rnacentral:rRNA from 1 species